GCAAACUUGGUCAUUUAGAGGAAGUAAAAGUCGUAACAAGGUCUCCGUUGGUGAACCAGCGGAGGGAUCAUUAGCGAGUCUCUGAACUCCCAACCUUUGUGAACAUACCAUCGUUGCUUCGGCGGAUCGCCCCAGGGCCGGCAGUGCACGGUCUGCCCUGGAGCCAGGCGCCCGCCGGGGACCCAAACCUCUUGUUUUUUUCAGUGGAAUCUUCUGAGUCGUGGCAUAAAUAAUCAAAACUUUCAGCAACGGAUCUCUUGGUUCUCCCAUCGAUGAAGAACGCAGC
rnacentral:misc_RNA from 1 species